rnacentral:rRNA from 1 species
GGCGGACGGGUGAGUAAUGUCUGGGAAACUGCCUGAUGGAGGGGGAUAACUACUGGAAACGGUAGCUAAUACCGCAUAACGUCGCAAGACCAAAGAGGGGGACCUUCGGGCCUCUUGCCAUCGGAUGUGCCCAGAUGGGAUUAGCUAGUAGGUGGGGUAACGGCUCACCUAGGCGACGAUCCCUAGCUGGUCUGAGAGGAUGACCAGCCACACUGGAACUGAGACACGGUCCAG